CUGGUAAAAACGGGAGAAGUCCCCGGGAUAUSUUAUAUGUCCUUGCCGGCGUUUGCAUCGCUGNUGAACGUCGGGGGSUGAUAGAGGRGCCUCGGAGA
rnacentral:tRNA from 1 species